AUAUCACGUUGAAACACCGGGUCCCGUACUAACAAGGAAGUUAAGCAACGUCGAGCCUAGUCAGUACCUAGAUGGGUGAUUGUUUGUGAAUACCAGCUGCUGUAA